GGGGGUGAUCGGUUUCGACGAUGGUUGUCGAUUCAGGAGAAGCGGGCCGAGGAUGCAUGGUCAUCUCGUCAACGCUCCAUGCAAACCCAUAGGUGCCGAUUCCAAGCGCACCGACUUCGCCCUCGCCGCCUGAGCGAGCCUCGAAGUCCGUCAGCCUGAGCUAGCUCUCGACUCAGUGUCUGGCGUCAUCUAGAGGGCCACUGCUCGCAGUCCGCGUCACGGGGGCUGCGGGGACUCCUACCGUGACUGAGCCUGUCAGCGACUUGUCUGCGUGAUCGCUGGGGCCGAGAAAAUCGCAGCAGACUGCGCCCGGAGAAGCCCUGUCUCACUGCCGUCGGACGCGGGUUCGAUUCCCGCCACCUCCAC
rnacentral:tmRNA from 1 species